CCUACGGGUGGCAGCAGUGGGGAAUAUUGCGCAAUGGGGGAAACCCUGAUGCAGCGACGCCGCGUGGGUGAAGAAGCGCCUCGGCGCGUAAAGCCCUGUCAGCAGGGAAGAAAAUGACGGUACCUGAAGAAGAAGCCCCGGCUAACGACGUGCCAGCAGCCGCGGUAAUACGUAGGGGGCAAGCGUUAUCCGGAUUUACGGGGGGUAAAGGGAGCGUAGACGGCAGCGCAAGUCUGGAGUGAAAUGCCGGGGCCCAACCCCGGAACUUCUUUUGAAACUGUGCAGCUGGAGUGCAGGAGAGGUACGCGUAAUUCCUUGUGUAGCGGUGAAAUGCGUAGAUAUUAGGAGGAACACCAGUGGCGACGGCGGCUUACUGGACUGUACCUGACGUUGAGGCUC
rnacentral:rRNA from 1 species